rnacentral:rRNA from 1 species
AGUGAACGCUGGCGGUAGGCCUAACACAUGCAAGUCGAACGGCAGCACAGUAAGAGCUUGCUCUUACGGGUGGCGAGUGGCGGACGGGUGAGGAAUACAUCGGAAUCUACUUUUUCGUGGGGGAUAACGUAGGGAAACUUACGCUAAUACCGCAUACGACCUACGGGUGAAAGCAGGGGAUCUUCGGACCUUGCGCGAUUGAAUGAGCCGAUGUCGGAUUAGCUAGUUGGCGGGGUAAAGGCCCACCAAGGCGACGAUCCGUAGCUGGUCUGAGAGGAUGAUCAGCCACACUAGAACUGAGACACGGUCCAGACUCAUACGGGAGGCAGCAGUGGGGAAUAUUGGACAAUGGGCGCAAGCCUGAUCCAGCCAUACCGCGUGGGUGAAGAAGGCCUUCGGGUUGUAAAGCCCUUUUGUUGGGAAAGAAAAGCAGCAGGUUAAUACCCCGCUGUUCUGACGGUACCCAAAGAAUAAGCACCGGCUAACUUCGUG